rnacentral:rRNA from 1 species
CGUCUAUAUACGUAUAGCAUAUCAAUAAGCGGAGGAAAAGAAACUAACUAGGAUUCCCUCAGUAACGGCGAGUGAAGCGGGAAGAGCUCAAAUUUGAAAUCUUCAAGGUUCUACCUUGACGAAUUGUAGUUUAAAGAAGUGUUUUCUGUUGGAGUUUUGGUAAAAGUUCUUUGGAAUAGGACAUCAUAGAGGGUGAGAAUCCCGUAUUUGACCAUUAUUUCCAGCUUUGUGAUACACUUUCAAAGAGUCGGAUUGUUUGGGAAUGCAGUCCAAAAUGGGUGGUAAAUUUCAUCUAAAGCUAAAUACUGGCGAGAGACCGAUAGCGAACAAGUACCGUGAGGGAAAGAUGAAAAGAACUUUGAAAAGAGAGUUAAACAGUACGUGAAAUUGUCAAAAGGGAAGCGUUUGACACCAGUGUUGUUUUCUCGAAAAUCAAUUAAAAAUGGCGGGAUUUUGUGUUGUAUUGACUUUAUCAGCUUUCUGCACUUUUUUCCUGUCCUUUUUAAUGCACUUUUCGUUUAACAAGUCAACAUCAAUUUCUUUUGUUGUAAAAGGGUCAUUGGAAGGUGGCUUUCUUUUCGGAGAAAGUGUUUAUAGCCUUUGACUUCUGCAAUCGGAGAGAUUGAGGUCUGCAGCGUAGAUCCUUCGGGGUUAGAUACAUUUGUGCUAAGUUAUAGCCUUUCAUAGGACAACUUGUUGACUAUGAUCAGUCAUGUAGCUUACUCGCUUAUGCUAUUUUACCUACGCUUAGGAUGUUGACGAUCAGCUGAGCGCG